AGUUUUGCAGGCAGCAGCUCAGACUGUGAGCAUCAUCCACAAGGGGACAGCAUCCACAUCCACACUGGAAAGAUGCAGUUUGUGUCUGUGAGGAACAGAAAGGGGAGCAGCCAUUGCUGAAAGCACCCAAAAAUAAUAAUAAAAAAAAAAUUAAAAAAGAGAGAGAGAAGAAAGAAGAAGACAUUUCCUGGAUUAUUACUUCUGGACGGAGAGGGAGGAGAGGUGAGCUAGACACAUCCAGAACAUGCCCCGGCUGCUCAGGGAUCUCUUGGAGUCUAUCUUGGGAGAUUUGCAAAGACAGAAAAGUUAUAAACAAACCCCGAAUGACAGGAUCGCAUAUUUCAACUACAUCUGGAAAGUUCAGAAAGCCACUUUGAAGAUACUGUCUCUAGAGAAAAGUGGCCCUCUUAAGCCUUGAUGAUAUUUCUUCAAAAGCAAGAUGAAGCACAGUAUUUUUUCAGCCUGUCUUUACACUUGCUUCUUUCUUAGAAUCCAGCAAAUAAGUCAACAGGCAUUUUCAUUGUUCAGUGAGGAGCAUCAGAAAGCAUGAGGCAAACAAUAAAUGAGGACAGGUUUAUAACUUCUACCUCUCCAUCAAUUCUUACAGAUUUCAGUUGUUUAAAAUUUUCUUCUUCACUCCUGUCACUACAUUAGCUAGUGAACUCAUAGCAGCAGCUUUUAAUUUUAAAUACCAGGCAUUCACACCUCAAUAAAUGUGCAGCAAAUUACACUACAUCAGCACACAGUUUCCCUUUGUUCACAGGCAAAACUGCUUCUAAAACUGUCUUAGAACUCAUACUCUUGGAUUCCCAGAUUUUUUGGGCAAAGAUGCACCAAAAAUAUUAUGUUUAUUAUUAAUCUAAUUUAUUAAUAUUUUUGUAUCAUUUUUGGGAAAAGAAAAAUAAAUUAUAUUGCAUUCCUUUGAAACCCAACAUCCAUUUGAAGGAAAAACCCAACCCAAAUUAAACAGUAUCAAAUGACACUACCCAUUCAUUCAUUUGGAUUCUUGGUACAAUUAUUAGUGCUCAUGAUUGGGAACCCUGGACUCCUCUCACUCCUCUAGAUUUUAUUCUGUUCUUAAGAGACAAAAUUUAUUUGAAUCAUUGUCUAAUAUGAGAAUAGGAAUUUUCUUUUGAUUUGUAAGAGUUUCAAAUGUGAUGUUGUUAAGUGUGGGAGUGAAAUCUACAGAAUCAAUGUAACAUUUCAGCUUAUUACUCAAAGGUUAAAAUAAACUUGAGGGAACAAUAACAUUUCUUUCAC